rnacentral:sRNA from 1 species
GAAUGGACUCUAAUGAUACCUGAGUGGUAGGAGUACAAGCCCUUUCUAAGUUUUCUCUGAACAUAUAUUACUGGUGCAGGAAGUUAUUUUUUUAAGUAAUAAAUCUAGUCUACCUCAUCUCUUCUCCCAGGCCUGAGCUGAAGCCUGUGGACAAGGAAUCAGAGGUCGUAAUGAAGUAAGUGCUGGGCCAGUGGGGCUGGUGGGGAAUUGCUUGCUUCCAGCUGCCCCCACAUCCUCACCCCUACCUCCUGCAGGUUCCCUGAUGGGUUUGAGAAGUUCUCGCCGCCAAUUCUGCAGCUAGAUGAGGUGGAUUUCUACUACGAUCCAAAGCACGUCAUCUUCAGUCGCCUCUCUGUGUCUGCUGAUCUCGAGUCUCGCAUCUGUGUGGUUGGAGAGAAUGGGGCUGGGAAGUCUACCAUGCUGAAGCUGCUUUUGGGGGAUCUGGCACCUGUUCGGGGCAUCAGACACGCUCACAGGAAUCUGAAGAUUGGCUAUUUCAGCCAGCACCAUGUGGAGCAGCUGGACCUAAACGUCAGUGCUGUGGAACUGCUGGCACGCAAGUUUCCUGGGCGGCCUGAGGAGGAGUACCGUCACCAGCUGGGUCGGUAUGGCAUCUCCGGAGAACUGGCCAUGCGUCCUGUUGCCAGCUUGUCUGGGGGCCAGAAGAGCCGAGUGGCCUUUGCUCAGAUGACUAUGCCCUGCCCCAACUUCUACAUUCUGGAUGAACCCACAAACCACCUGGACAUGGAGACCAUUGAGGCUCUGGGCCGUGCCCUCAACAAUUUCAGGGGUGGUGUGAUUCUGGUGUCCCACGAUGAGCGCUUUAUCAGGCUGGUGUGCCGGGAGUUGUGGGUGUGCGAAGGAGGCGGCGUCACCCGUGUGGAAGGAGGAUUUGACCAGUACCGCGCCCUCCUCCAGGAACAGUUCCGCCGCGAAGGCUUCCUCUAGGGCCAUCAGGCUGAGGACUCGCCCAGGACAUGGACUGGCCUCUCAGACCCCUGGGCCACCACAUAGGCCACCACUCCAGGCCGUGGACUUCCCCCAACUUGGGGACAGCCUUAUUCCCAAAUGUCUCUAUCCUUUUGACUGGAGCAUCUUCUGCACAACCUUGGGAGCCCAUCCAAGGGUUGGUGAGGACUGGUCUCCCGGGGGCGGGGGUCUGGGGGGUACCCUCUGGGGUUAUAGAUUCCCCCACUGCCCCAGCUCUGACUGGACCCCAAGUGGCUGCUAUGUAAAUUAAAUCUCUCCCCGCGUCU